UUAGCUAGUUGGUGAGGUAAAGGCUUACCAAGGCGACGAUCAGUAGCUGGUCUGAGAGGACGACCAGCCACACUGGGACUGAGACACGGCCCAGACUCCUACGGGAGGCAGCAGUGGGGAAUUUUGGACAAUGGGGGAAACCCUGAUCCAGCCAUGCCGCGUGAGUGAAGAAGGCCUUCGGGUUGUAAAGCUCUUUCAGCCGGAACGAAACGGUUACGGUUAAUACCCGUGACUACUGACGGUACCGGAAGAAGAAGCACCGGCUAACUACGUGCCAGCAGCCGCGGUAAUACGUAGGGUGCGAGCGUUAAUCGGAAUUACUGGGCGUAAAGCGUGCGCAGGCGGUUUUGUAAGUCAGAUGUGAAAUCCCCGGGCUUAACCUGGGAACUGCGUUUGAAUC
rnacentral:rRNA from 1 species